rnacentral:rRNA from 1 species
UACCAGCACCCCGAGUGGUCGGGACGUUUUAUUGGGCCUAAAGCAUCCGUAGCCGGUUCUACAAGUCUUCCGUUAAAUCCAACUGCUUAACAGGUGGGCUGCGGAAGAUACUAUAGAGCUAGGAGGCGGGAGAGGCAAGCGGUACUCGAUGGGUAGGGGUAAAAUCCGUUGAUCCAUUGAAGACCACCAGUGGCGAAGGCGGCUUGCCAGAACGCGCUCGACGGUGAGGGAUGAAAGCUGGGGAGCAAACCGG